GACAGAGGGUGCAAACGUUGUUCGGAAUUACUGGGCGUAAAGCGCGUGUAGGCGGCAGGGCAUGUCGGAUGUGAAAUCCCGUGGCUCAACCACGGAAGUGCACCCGAAACUGCCCAGCUGGAGUCUCGGAGAGGAAGGCGGAAUGCUUGGUGUAGAGGUGAAAUUCGUAGAUAUCAAGCGGAACACCGGUGGCGAAGGCGAGUCCCUGGACAACUCCUGACACUGA
rnacentral:rRNA from 1 species